ACGUCCUUAGCUCAGCCGGUAGAGCAGCGCCCUUACAAGGCGAGUGUCGGCGGUUCGAUCCCGUCAGGACGUACCA
rnacentral:tRNA from 1 species